rnacentral:lncRNA from 10 species
ACCAACUCGGCAUUCUACUGGAGGCUAUAUGAUCAAACAGCAAACUGUUUAUCAUGAAUGCAGAAUGUGAGCAAACUCAAGACUGCUCCUGCCAACAGAAGGUUUGCUGGAGGCAAUCACUCCCUGGCACCGAGGCUAUCUACUGUGAUAUCUAGAGCCUGUUGUUCGAGAAUGCAGUCUUGCAAGCCUACUCUGGACUGAGCAGCUGACCCCUUCUUCCACCCUCCUUCUCAUUAUCUCUUUUGCCUAAUAAAUAUGGAGGGCUGUGUAAAGCUCGGGGCCCUUGUCCACUAGAGGCAAGGUGCCCCCUGACCCCUUCUUCCAAAUAUACUCUUUUGUCUCCUGUCUUUUAUUCCCGUGUUUGCUCCUCUUUGUUCAGUCCAUGUAGGUCCGUGCCAGUUACAAGUGGCGACCCAGAACAGGGACUCCAACGACGCCCAUCAAGUGGCGUCUGAACACAGGACUACGAGGACUUGAACGAAGGUCUGCUGGAGCAGAGGAACUGAAAUUGACAAGCGAACGGGGACCCCGGGAUGAGUCUGCCAGCAGCGGAUAAAAGGAAGGGAGAUAUGCAGGGAGCCAAAGGCCCAUGGGACGUGACCAACUUGGCAUUCUACUGGAGGCUAUAUGAUCAAACAGCAAACUGUUUAUCAUGAAUGCAGGAUGUGAGCAAACUCACAACUGCUCCUGCCAACAGAAGCCAACAGAAGUUUUGCUGGAGGCAAUCACUCCCUGGCACCGAGGCUAUCUACUGUGAUAUCUAGAGCCUGUUGUUUGAGGAAUACAAUCUUGCAAGCCUACUCUGGAUUGAGCAGCUGACCCCUUCUUCCAUUCUCCUUCUCACUAUCUCUUUUGCCUAAUAAAUACGGAGGGCUGUGUAAAGCUCGGGGCCCUUGUCCACUAGAGGCAAGGUGCCCCCUGACCCCUCUUCCAAAUAUACUCUUUUGUCUCUUAUCUUUUAUUCCCAUGUUUGCCCCUCUUUGUUCAGUCCAUCUAGGUCUGUGCAGGUUACAAUGCAUUAGCUCUUUCCUGGUUCUUCAGCUUGAUGGCUGUUGGACUUGAACCUCCACAUUGACUCUUCCCUGGGUCUCCAGCCUACAGGCCCACUCUGCAGAUUUUGAUCUUGUCAGCCUCCAUAAUCCUAUGAGCCAAUUCCUUCAAAUAAAUAUCUUUCUACAUGUAGAUAUAUCCCACUGGUUCUGUUUUUCUAGAGAAUCCUGACUAAUAUGGCUAACCAGAGUAGCUUCUGUUAUUUGCAGCCAAGAACACUGACCUGUGUUUUUUUUUAAUUCCUUAGGGAAUGCUAGUAUAUUUCCCACUUUAAGAAAUACUUUUCUAAAUACUUCCCUGCUUUAUUCCUUUAUGUGUUCCUCAGUAAAAGUGUCCUUGGGGAACCCAGGACAGUGGACCCACUGAUAUAAUUUGCCUACCUUGGAAAAUGUACAGAUGCACCUGUUGUUCUCCCAACCUCUGGGUUAUACUUGAUAAUGAUACCUUCUGUUUCUACCGUGCUUUCUUUCUCAUUGUGGUAAAACAAACAAACAAAAAAUAUUUAACAUAAAAUUUAUCAUCUUAACCUUUUUUAGGUGGGCGUAAAGUUCAGCAGCGUCAAGUAUAUUCACAUUGUUGUGAAACAAAUCUCUAGAACUUUUUUGUCUUCUGAAACCCUAUACUCAUUAAAACAAUAACUCUCCUUUCCCCUCCUCCAGUCCCCAGUAACCACCUUUCUACUUUCUGUUUCUGAGUUUGACUACUCUAGGUACCUCAUAUAAGUGGAAUCAUAUGGUAGUUGCCUUUUUGUUCCUGGCUUAUUUCACUUAGAAUAAUGUCCUUAAGGUUCACGCAAGUUGUAGCAUGCGACAGGGUCUCCUUCCUCUUCAAGACUGAAUAAUAUUCCAUUGUAUGUGUAUAUCACAUUUUGUUUAUCCAUUCAUUUGUGGAUGGUAACUUGGGUUGCUCCCACCUCUUGGCUAUUGUGAAUAAUGCUGCUAUGAAUGUUGGUAUGCAAAUAUCUCUUUGAGACUCUGAUUUUGAUUAUUUUGGAUAUAAAUCCAGAAGCCGGAUUGCUGGAUUGCUGAUGGUUCCUCAUAGGAUUGCUGGGUCCUGUGAGGAACCAUCAUACUGUCUGCAUAGGAAUUGCACCACUUAUCCAUGAUGCAUUUAGCUCCUCAAAGCAAUCUUACAGUUUUAGUUUUGUCCUCACAACCUUACGAGGUAAGUAGAGCACACAUUAUUAUCCCCAUCUUGCGGAUGAAGUAGUUGAGGCAUAAAGGUGUCAAACAGCUUGCAUAACAUAACAGCUAUUUUUUUUUUUGAGAUGGAGUCUUCUUCUGUUGCCCAGGAUGGAGUACAGUGGCACAAUCUUGGCUCACCGCAACCUCUGCCUCCUGGGUUCAAGUGAUUCUCUUGCUGCAGCCUCCUAAAUAGCAGGGAUUACAAGCACGUGCCACCAUGCCCGGCUAAUUU